rnacentral:rRNA from 1 species
GACGAACGCUGGCGGCGUGCUUAACACAUGCAAGUCGAGCGGUAAGGCCCUUUCGGGGGUACACGAGCGGCGAACGGGUGAGUAACACGUGGGUGACCUGCCCUUAGCUCUGGGAUAAGCCUGGGAAACUGGGUCUAAUACCGGAUAUGACUCCAUGACGCAUGUUGUGGGGUGGAAAGCCUUGUGCGGCUAGGGAUGGGCCCGCGGCCUAUCAGCUUGUUGGUGGGGUGAUGGCCUACCAAGGCGACGACGGGUAGCCGGCCUGAGAGGGCGACCGGCCACACUGGGACUGAGAUACGGCCCAGACUCCUACGGGAGGCAGCAGUGGGGGAUAUUGCGCUAAUGCGCGAAAGCGUGACGCAGCGACGCCGCGUGGGGAUGAAGGCCCUC